AGUUCUGGAGGCUUCAGGAUGUAAAAAGUAACUAGUAAAUGUUCUCCUGCUCCUGGAACACAUUUGUGCUGCUGCAGAGUUUCAGUUUUGUCUCUAUUAGAGUUCAGAGAUUUAAAGAAUAAACUUACUGAGUGUUCCAGUGUUGGAAUACAGUGUGACUAUCGGAUGCAGUUACUGAACAGACCUGGGUGAACACUACAUCAGAAAGAAGAUGGAUUAUGGUGUGGAGUUAAAGCUGAUGGCUUCCACAUCUUCUCUUUGUUUGUUAGUGGACUUUAAACCAAAUUAACUGAUGUCUCUCCAUUGAAACUGCUCUUAACUUGAAGCCCCCCAUGUGUCUCUGUUCAUUUAGAGAUAGGAACUGUUUUUAAGUAUAUGUGUAGAGUUUAUAGAUGCUGCUGAAGGUUAGAGAAGUUUCCAGAUGUUUCUCCUGAGCUGCAGUGAUCCGGUCCCACGGUGAAGCCCUCCGUGUCUCUGCUCCCUCCCUCCUCUCUGCAGCUGUCUGAGGGAUCGGCCUCGCUGCUCUGCCUGCUGUCUGCCUACUCUCCACAGGGGGCGCUGGUGAGCUGGACGGUGGACGGCUCAGAGGUGAAGGACGGGGUUCUGACCAGCGCGGAAGAACAGAAGAAGGACGGUUACACACGCAGCAGCACCCUGACCCUCAGCAAAGCACUCUGGGAAAAGGGGGAGGAGUUUGUCUGUAAGGUCUCCCAUGACGGCGUCAAUCAUCCGGUCACGUUCAGAAAGAGCCAGUGUGAAGGCUAACAGCUCCAAGAUAGAAUUUAACACUGAGCUGCUUACACAUCCAUCUACAAUAGAGUUUCAAUUCUACACAAUGCUGACAUUUCUGUCUUUACUCUCUUCACUGUCCUGUUGCUCUUCCUGUAGUUUUGCUCUGCUGAAAUAAAGCUUGAUUUUGGA